rnacentral:lncRNA from 1 species
AAACUGCUUCGUGAUGUGUCCAUUCAGUUAACAAAGUUAAACCUUUCUUUCAUUUCAGCUGGUUGGAAAUACCCUUUUUGAAGAAUCUGCAAAGGGGCAUUUCAGAGUCCACUGAGACCCAUAGUGAAAAAUAAAACAUCCAGUGACAAAAACGACUUGUUGGAAACACUCUUUUUGAAGAAUCUGUGGAGGGACGUUUCAGAACUCACUGAGGCCCACAGUGAAAAAACAAAUAUCCUGUGAUAAAAACGACUGGUUGGAGACACUCUUUUUGAAGAAUUUGUGAAGAGACAUUUUGAAGUCCACUGAGACCCAUAGUGUAAAAUCAAAUAUCCCAUGAUAAAAAUGAGUAAGAAGAUAUAUGUGAAACUGCUUUGUGUUGUGUGCAUUCAGUUCAAGGAGGUAAACUUUUCUUUUGAAUCAGCAGGUUGGAAACACUUUUUUUGUACAAUCUGGGAAGGGACAUUUUGGAGCCCACUUAUUAGUGAAAAACCGAAUAUCUAACAAUAAAAACUAGAAGAAAAUGAUGAGCAAUACUGCCUUGUGAGGUGUGGAUUACCUUAAAGAGUAAAACCUUCCCUUUGAUUCAGUAGGUUGGAAACAAUGUUUUUGUAGAAACUGCACAGGGACAUGUUGGAGCCCACUGAGGCCUAUAGUGAAAAACCAAAUAUUCAGCAAUAAAAACAUGAAAGAAGCUACCUGUGAAACUGAUUUGUGAUGCGUGGAUUCAGCUCACAGAAUUAAACUUCUUUUGAUUCAGCAGGUUGGAAACCCUCUUUUGUAGAAACUGAGAAGAGUCGUUUCGGAGCACAUGAAGGCUUACAGUGAAAAAUCGAAUAUCCCAUGAUAAAAACUAGAAAUAAUCUAUCUGGGAAACUGCUUUGUGAUGUGCUUCAGUUCACAGAGGAAAACAUUUCUUUUGAUUCAGCAGGCUGGAAACUCUUUUUUGUAGAAUCUACAAUGGGACAUAUAGCAACCCAAUGAGACCUCUCUUGGAGAACAGAAUAUCCUGUGAUAAAAACUAGAAAGAAGCUAUAUAUGAAACUGCUUUGUGAUGUGUGGAUAUGGUUCACAGAGGUAAACCUUCCUUUUCAUUCAGCAGUUCAGAAAAACUCCUUUUGUAGAAUCUGCAAAGGGACAUUUCAGAGUCCACUGAGGUCUAUAGUGAAUUACCAAAUGUCCCGUGAUAAAAAAAUAUAAGGGAGUUAUCUGUGAAACUGCUUUGUGAUGUGUGGAUUCAGUUAUCAGAGUUAAGCCUUUUUCUUUCUUUUUUUAUUUACUUUUAUUAUUAUUAUUAUACUUUAAGUUUUAUGGUACAUGUGCACAAUGUGCAGGUUAGUUACAUAUGUAUACAUGUGCAAUGCUGGUGUGCUGCACCCAUUAACUCGUCAUUUAGCAUUACGUAUAUCUCCUAAUGCUAUCCCUCUCCCCUCUCCCCACCCCACAACAGUCCCCAGAGUGUGAUGUUCCCCUUCCUGUGUGUAUGUGUUCUCAUUGUUCAGUUCCCACCUAUGAAUGAGAACAUGUGGUGCUUGUUUUUCUGUCCUUGCGAUAGUUUACUGAGAAUGAUGAUUUCCAAUUUCAUCCAUGUCCCUACAAAGGACAUGAACUCAUCAUUUUUUAUGGCUGCAUUGUACUCCAUGGUGUACAUGUGCCACAUUUUCUUAAUCCAGUCUAUCAUUGUUGGACAUUUGGGUUGGUUCCAAGUCUUUGUUAUUGUGAAUAGUGCCACAGUAAACAUAAUUGUGCAUGUGUCUUUAUAGCAGCAUGAUUUAUAGUCCUUUGGGUUUAUACCCAGUAAUGGGAUGGCUGGGUCAAAUGGUAUUUCCAGUUCUAGAUCCCUGAGGAAUCGCCACACUAACUUCCACAAUGGUUGAACUAGUUUACAGUCCCACCAACAGUGUAAAAGUGUUCCUAUUUCUCCACAUCCUCUCUAGCACCUGUUGUUUCCUGACUUUUGAAUGACCACCAUUCUAACUGGUGUGAGAUGAUAUCUCAUUGUGGUUUAGAUUUGCAUUCCUCUGAUGGCCAGUGAUGAUGAGCAUUUUUUCAUGUGUUUUUUGGCUGCAUAAAUGUCUUCUUUUGAGAAGUAUCUGUUCAUAUACUUCACCUAUUUUUUGAUGGGGUUGUUAGUUUUUUUCUUGUAAAUUUGUUUGAGUUCAUUGUAGAUUCUGGAUAUUGGCCCUCUGUCAGAUGAAUAGGUUGCAAAAAUUUUCUCCCAUUUUGUAGGUUGCAUGUUCACUCUGAUGAUAGUUUCUUUUGCUGUGCAGAAGCUCUUUAGUUUAAUCAGAUCCCAUUUGUCAAUUUUGGCUUUUGUUGCCAUUGCUUUUGGUGUUUUAGACAUGAAGUCCUUGCCCAUGCCUAUGUCCUGAAUGGUAAUGCCUAGGUUUUAAGUAACUUCAGCAAAGUCUCAGGAUACAAAAUCAAUGUGCAGAAAUUACAAACAGUCUUAUACACCAAUAACAGACAAACAGAGAGCCAAAUCAUGAGUGAACUCCCAUUCACAGUUACUUCAAAGAGAAUAAAAUACC